UACGGAGGAUGCGAGCGUUAUCCGGAUUUAUUGGGUUUAAAGGGUGGUGCAGGCGGGCGUUUUAAGUCUAGCGGUGAAAUCCCCAACGCUUAACGUUGGUAACUGCCGUUGAAACUGGGAGUCUUGAGUAUAGAUGAAGUAGGCGGAAUUCGUUGUGUAGCGGUGACAUGCUUAGAUAUAACGAGGAACUCCGAUUGCGUAGGCAGCUUACUAAGCUAUAACUGACGCUCAAGCACGAAAGCGUGGGGAUCAAACAGGAUUAGAUACCCGGGUAGU
rnacentral:rRNA from 1 species